UACAGAGGUCUCAAGCGUUGUUCGGAUUCAUUGGGCGUAAAGGGUGCGUAGGCGGCGCGGUAAGUCGGGUGUGAAAUCUCGGAGCUUAACUCCGAAACUGCAUUCGAUACUGCCGUGCUUGAGGACUGGAGAGGAGACUGGAAUUUACGGUGUAGAGGUGAAAUUCGUAGAUAUUCGCAAGAACAUCAGUGGCGAAGGCGGCCUUCUGGUCCGUUACUGACACUCAAGUGCGAAAGCGUGGGGAGCAAACA
rnacentral:rRNA from 1 species